CGGGAAUGUUGGUAAAGAUGCUAUCUCUUGCAUUCUUUGCUCAAGUGAAGCUGUUUCAGUUGACAAUAAAGUUUGCUGUUGUUUAUAAAUGAUACUCUUAGAACUGUUCAGCUAAUUAACUUCGAAAUUAACUUACACAAAAAGAAACCUGAAUUCCGAGAAAGCUCUGACUAUUUUUGGUGGUUCCAAGCAUGGCUUUCAUGCAGUUUCCUUUAAACCAGCUCAGUUCGAUCAUAAUUUUGAGGCAAAAAUUUAUUGUUUUGACUUUAUAUUGUAGAUUAUCCUUGUUAUAAUUGGACAUAAACUGGACUUUUAUUAUUGAUUAUUGAUCUUGUCCAUAGCAGUUAUGUCAGUUUGCGCCCGAUAUAAUUCUGAGACUGAAAUAAGUGAUGAAGAAGUCAUGAUCACAUGUCAACUGAAGCACAUUAUAACCAGAAUAUCAACAAACCCAUCAUUUGAUUAGAGGGUAAUAAAGAGGAACAAUAAAAUGAACAAAACAAAUAACAAAUGUAAAAGCCUUGGCAAUUACUAUUAAGCUCCACUAUUUUCAGAAUUUAGGAGACUUUUAAAGCAGCGAUUCAAUAGACAAGGAUCAUGACAAUAUAAUCUCUGGAUCAUUUGCUAUGGAUUUAUUCAUUAAGACUACGUGGCAAUUGUAAAGUGCUAUCUCCUCGUAAACACAGCCUAAAAAACAUUGAUAAAAAAUUAAUACUAGACUGGUACCGUGUUACCGCACAUUCAAGCUCUGAGCUUUUAAAUGAGGUCCUCGUUUAUAAGCUUUUUUUACUCUAAAUAACGAUGCGCUAUGCGCUUAAAAUUCACUUAGAAAAACCGGUUUUAAAAUAACUUCUUUCUCGACAAUAGGCACUGAUUCGAUAAGAUUAUUCAUCGUUUAAUUGAUUGUUAGCAUGAUAAUUUUUUUAGACUCGUUUCCAUUGCUCAAAAUGUAUUUUAUCAGCAAUGACCAUUUCUGUAUCAGAGCCUAUCUCAUAGUUUGCUCAUUAUCUUAGUAGCGCUUAUUUAAACGGCUAGAAUACCUGAUUUACUUACAAGCACAAGCUUUAAUUGGUGAGGAAAACUUUGUCUUAUAAAUGGGGUUCGUUCAUUUAUAAGCUCAGAGCCUAUUUGCGCGGUAACACGGUAAUUAGAGCAUGUAGCAUGAUAUCAAUAAUAAUGUUUGUUCAAAU